AAGUCGUAACAAGGUUUCCGUAGGUGAACCUGCGGAAGGAUCAUUAUCGUAACAAACGGGGGCGUGCCAGCUCUGCUCCGGCUCAAUCGGCCGUGAGCGGGUGACCGCGUCUUCUGUCCACACAAAACCCCUGUGCACCUUUCGGCAAAGGUGGGCGCGAGCCCGUCUGACCCGCAUCACAAACUCAGUAUUAAGAAUGUAACGCAGACUCAGUCUGUCUAAACAAAUAACAA
rnacentral:misc_RNA from 1 species